UCUCCUGGAAAACGGGUGGUAAUGCCGGAUGUUCCAGUUGAUCGCAUGGUCUUCUGGGAAAGCUUUCGCGGUAUGGGAUGGGGUCGCGUCCUAUCAGCUUGACGGCGGGGUAACGGCCCACCGUGGCUUCGACGGGUAGCCGGCCUGAGAGGGCGACCGGCCACAUUGGGACUGAGAUACGGCCCAGACUCCUACGGGAGGCAGCAGUGGGGAAUAUUGCACAAUGGGCGCAAGCCUGAUGCAGCGACGCCGCGUGAGGGAUGGAGGCCUUCGGGUUGUAAACCUCUUUUAUCGGGGAGCAAGCGUGAGUGAGUUUACCCGUUGAAUAAGCACCGGCUAACUACGUGCCAGCAGCCGCGGUAAUACGUAGGGUGCAAGCGUUAUCCGGAAUUAUUGGGCGUAAAGGGCUCGUAGGCGGUUCGUCGCGUCCGGUGUGAAAGUCCAUCGCUUAACGGUGGAUCCGCGCCGGGUACGGGCGGGCUUGAGUGCGGUAGGGGAGACUGGAAUUCCCGGUGUAACGGUGGAAUGUGUAGAUAUCGGAAAGAACACCA
rnacentral:rRNA from 2 species